AAUAUGGGGGGACCAUCCUCCAAGGCUAAAUACUCCUGACUGACCGAUAGUGAACCAGUACCGUGAGGGAAAGGCGAAAAGAACCCCGGCGAGGGGAGUGAAAAAGAACCUGAAACCGUGUACGUACAAGCAGUGGGAGCCUCUUAAUGGGGUGACUGCGUACCUUUUGUAUAAUGGGUCAGCGACUUAUAUUCUGUAGCAAGGUUAACCGAAUAGGGGAGCCGAAGGGAAACCGAGUCUUAACUGGGCGUUAAGUUGCAGGGUAUAGACCCGAAACCCGGUGAUCUAGCCAUGGGCAGGUUGAAGGUUGGGUAACACUAACUGGAGGACCGAACCGACUAAUGUUGAAAAAUUAGCGGAUGACUUGUGGCUGGGGGUGAAAGGCCAAUCAAACCGGGAGAUAGCUGGUUCUCCCCGAAAGCUAUUUAGGUAGCGCCUCGUGAAUUCAUCUCCGGGGGUAGAGCACUGUUUCGGCAAGGGGGUCAUCCCGACUUACCAACCCGAUGCAAACUGCGAAUACCGGAGAAUGUUAUCACGGGAGACACACGGCGGGUGCUAACGUCCGUCGUGAAGAGGGAAACAACCCAGACCGCCAGCUAAGGUCCCAAAGUCAUGGUUAAGUGGGAAACGAUGUGGGAAGGCCCAGACAGCCAGGAUGUUGGCUUAGAAGCAGCCAUCAUUUAAAGAAAGCGUAAUAGCUCACUGGUCGAGUCGGCCUGCGCGGAAGAUGUAACGGGGCUAAACCAUGCACCGAAGCUGCGGCAGCGACACUAUGUGUUGUUGGGUAGGGGAGCGUUCUGUAAGCCUGUGAAGGUGGCCUGUGAGGGUUGCUGGAGGUAUCAGAAGUGCGAAUG
rnacentral:rRNA from 1 species